rnacentral:tRNA from 1 species
CGCGGCGUGCGCAAGUGGACCAAGGGGCCGGUUUCAUAUUCCGGUAUUUCGCAGGUUCGAAUCCUGCCGUCGCGU